UGGCUCAGAUUGAACGCUGGCGGCAUGCCUUACACAUGCAAGUCGAACGGCAGCACGGGUGCUUGCACCUGGUGGCGAGUGGCGAACGGGUGAGUAAUAUAUCGGAACGUACCUUAUCGUGGGGGAUAACGCAGCGAAAGCUGCGCUAAUACCGCAUACGCCCUGAGGGGGAAAGCGGGGGACCGUAAGGCCUCGCGCGAUUAGAGCGGCCGAUAUCUGAUUAGCUUGUUGGUGGGGUAAAAGCCCACCAAGGCGACGAUCAGUAGCUGGUCUGAGAGGACGAUCAGCCACACUGGGACUGAGACACGGCCCAGACUCCUACGGGAGGCAGCAGUGGGGAAUUUUGGACAAUGGGGGCAACCCUGAUCCAGCAAUGCCGCGUGAGUGAAGAAGGCCUUCGGGUUGUAAAGCUCUUUUGUCAGGGAAGAAACAGCAGCUCUAACACAGUCUGCGAAUGACGGUACC
rnacentral:rRNA from 1 species